UGAAGUGUGAUUGGAGGCUGUGUGAGAGGGAGAUGAAUAAAUGGCUCUGCAAGAACACAAAGCAGGGGACUCAGACACGAGAGGCGAGUGACACGGGGAAGCUCCUUUGCCAAAGGCAGACAAAGACACGCACCUUUUGAAGAGCCCGAAGCUCUGUUGAUCCGGCGACCGCUGAAGCGGGCGGAAAGAGGACAGAGUCACAGAGGGUGAAAGGAAGGCAAGUCGUGGAUCUUUUAAAAAGGAGCACCCCGAAAUCGCUGAUGUUAUCCACUGUUGUGUUGAUCGAUGGAAAUGAGGACCUCGAAGACCUUAUAGGUGAAGUACUAGACGGACACUGACAUUGGUUGAGAGAAACGGAAGGAGAGGAGAACUUACCGCUGUGAGUAUAUAUCCGUGGGAAAAGUGGUGUUUGUGACUGGAAAGCGCCCUGUCUAGAUACCUGGAGUUACUAUUGGCAUGAAGACAACCUAGGACGAAGAAAGACAGAGAUCGUGAGUAAUCCAAAUCCCUUGAAGUGAGUGUUUAUAUAUAUUGGAUUGAUACAUUGUUUGAGUGCUCUCAAGAGAGACCGAGUGGCCCUACCCCUGUACCAGCGUGGUGGGUGAGCCGAAGGUUUCCGUGGGAAAGCAGCUACAGCAACGAUAGCAAAUAAACGCUAGGCCAUCUACCAUCUCCCUAUUCUCGCCCAGAGCGACGUGGAGGAAGACGGGUGUCUAUUGUGUGCACUGAGCGUGGUGGGGUGAGUCUUUGGAAGUUUUCACUUGAAGCGGUGCUGUGUAAUGCCGUGUAUUGCAGUGUGAGUGCUGUGUCCUGUUUGACGUAAUCCCGUUUCCAGUCACUCGUCCUGGGACGGUGAAGAGGAAAGAACGGCGCUAGAAAAAACCUGUAUAAUACUGCUGUAGUGUGCUUUCAGUUCCACAGAAUUACAGAGUGGCGGCGAAGAACGGUGCGAGUGGCAGCGUGUGUGAGUACUGCACCUACUAUUGUUACCUUACUUGUGUUUUGUUCAUCAUCACAGAGUAGAGGCAAGAGAGAUCCGCUGGCCCGAGGUCUCGGCGAAAGGGCGCCCCGGUCCAGUUUUCGAUCGACCAACGGGUCUCGAGGAACGGGCAGCGCUCGACCCGGUGUGCCGGCGUGGUUUUCUCGCCCCUCUGUUCAUCAACGAGUCCGCCGAGAGGGUCUUGGCCCCCGGCGUCCUAUUACAAAACAUUGCUAAAUCGCUGCAUUGCAGAAACCAGCCAGCGCAAGCUCGCGACCCGCCGUCUGUGGAGAGAAAGAGAGCCAACGUGAACACUGAGAUAUCGAGCUGUGGAGAGAGCCAUAUCUACCUAGAAGCUGUAACCAGCGCAGGGUGAGCAAACGUCUUGAGAACGAUUCACUGUGUCCCUGUGUCCCAGCAGCCGUCUGUGGAGAGAAAGAGAGCCAACGUGAACACUGAGAUAUCGAGCUGUGGAGAGAGCCCUAACUACCUAGAAGCUGUAAUCAGCGCAGAGGUGAGCAACGUCUUGAGAACGAUUCACUGUGUCCCUGUAUCCCAGCAGCUGUCUGUGGAGAGAAAGAGAGCCAACGUGAACACUGAGAUAUCGAGCUGUGGAGAGAGCCCUAACUACCUAGAAGCUGUAAUCAGCGCAGAGGUGAGCAACGUCUUGAGAACGAUUCACUGUGUCCCUGUAUCCCAGCAGUCGUCUGUGGAGAGAAAGAGAGCCAACGUGAGCACUGAGAUAUCGAGCUGUGGAGAGAGCCAUACCUACCUAGAAGCUGUAACCAGCGCAGAGGUGAGCGAACGUCUUAAGAACGAUUCACUGUGUCCCUGUAUCCUAGCAGCCGUCUGUGGAGAGAAAGAGAGCCAACGUGAACACUGAGAUAUUGAGCUAUGGAGAGAGCCAUACCUACCUAGAAGCUGUAACCAGCGCAGAGCAGCCGUCUGUGGAGAGAAAGAGAGCCAACGUGAACACUGAGAUAUUGAGCCGUGGAGGAGAGCCUAGAGUGGCCGUCAUUUAAGUUCCCCUUUCCCCUUCCCUAUUUAAUAUUUUUAAGUAAAUUAAAUAAAGUAUAUUUUAAUUUUA